rnacentral:rRNA from 1 species
GACGAACGCUGGCGGCGUGCUUAACACAUGCAAGUCGAACGGAAAGGCCCUGCUUGCAGGGUACUCGAGUGGCGAACGGGUGAGUAACACGUGGGUGAUCUGCCCUGCACUUCGGGAUAAGCCUGGGAAACUGGGUCUAAUACCGGCUAGGAGCCAUUUUUAGUGUGAUGGUUGGAAAGUUUUUUCGGUGUAGGAUGAGCUCGCGGCCUAUCAGCUUGUUGGUGGGGUAAUGGCCUACCAAGGCGGCGACGGGUAGCCGGCCUGUGAGGGUGGACGGCCACAUUGGGACUGAGAGGCGGCCCAGACACCGACGGGAGGCAGCAGUGGGGAAUAUUGCCCAAUGGGCGCAAGCCUGGUGCAGCGACGCCGCGUGGGGGAUGACGGCCUUCGGGUUGUAAACUCCUUGCGCUAGGGACGAAGCUUUUUGUGACGGUACCUAGAUAAGAAGCACCGGCUAACUACGUG